AUGCAGAUCUUUGUGAAGACCCUCACCGGCAAGACCAUCACCCUUGAGGUCGAGUCAUCGGACACCAUCGACAACGUCAAGGCGAAGAUCCAGGACAAGGAGGGCAUCCCCCCGGACCAGCAGCGCCUCAUCUUUGCUGGCAAGCAGCUCGAGGAUGGUCGUACCCUUGCUGACUACAACAUCCAGAAGGAGUCCACCCUCCACCUGGUGCUCCGCCUUCGCGGUGGUAUGCAGAUCUUCGUGAAGACCCUGACGGGCAAGACCAUCACGCUUGAGGUGGAGUCCUCGGACACCAUCGACAACGUCAAGGCCAAGAUCCAGGACAAGGAGGGCAUCCCCCCGGACCAGCAGNNNNNNNNNNNNNNNNNNNNGCAGCUCGAGGAUGGCCGUACCCUUGCUGACUACAACAUCCAGAAGGAGUCCACCCUCCACCUGGUGCUCCGCCUUCGUGGUGGUAUGCAGAUCUUUGUCAAGACCCUGACGGGCAAGACCAUCACGCUGGAGGUGGAGUCCUCGGACACCAUCGACAACGUGAAGGCAAAGAUCCAGGACAAGGAGGGCAUCCCUCCGGACCAGCAGCGCCUCAUCUUUGCCGGCAAGCAGCUUGAGGAUGGCCGCACUCUGGCAGACUACAACAUCCAGAAGGAGUCUACCCUCCACCUGGUUCUCCGCCUGCGUGGUGGCCAGUAA
rnacentral:rRNA from 1 species